rnacentral:rRNA from 1 species
GACGAACGCUGGCGGCGUGCUUAACACAUGCCAGUCGAACGGAAAGGCCCUGCUUUUGUGGCGUUCUCGAUUGGCGAACGGGUGAGUAUCACGUGAGUAACCUGCCCUUGACUUUGGGGUAACUUCAGGAAACUGGGUCUCAUACCGGAUAUGAUCUCCUGCUCCAUGUUGGGGGUUGGAAAGUUUCGGCGGUUGGGGCUGGACUCGCUGCUUAUCGGCUUCUUUGUGAGGUAGUGGAUUACGAAGGCUUUGACGGGUAGCCGGCCUGGGAGGGUUACCGGGCACAAUGGGACUGAGAGACGGCGCAGAAUCCUACGGGAGGCAGCAGGGGGGAAUAUUGCAGAGUGGGGGGAAGCCAGAUGCAGCAACGCCGGGUGCGGGAUGACGGCCUUCGGGUUGUAAACCGAUUUCGACGGUGACGAAGAGAGAGUGACGGUAAUGGGUAAAGAAGCACCGGCUAACUACGUG